CGCGUAGGCGGUUUGGUCAGUCGGAUGUGAAAGCCCCGGGCUCAACCUGGGAAUUGCAUUCGAUACUGCCAGGCUAGAGUAUGGUAGAGGGAAGUGGAAUUCCAGGUGUAGCGGUGAAAUGCGUAGAGAUCUGGAGGAACAUCAGUGGCGAAGGCGGCUUCCUGGACCAAUACUGACGCUGAGGUGCGAAAGCGUGGGGAGCAAACA
rnacentral:rRNA from 1 species